rnacentral:lncRNA from 1 species
GGAGCCCGACUCAUCACUAGAACCAUCGAGGCCUUCGGAUUCCUUGGAGCCCUCUUCAUCUUGGGGUUCAGCUAGCUUCUUCCCCUAAACCUCAAUUCUUUUUGCCUCCUCGAUCUCGGCAGAUAGGUCGAAGCCUCGGGCAUGAAUUUCUGCGAGGGUCUACCUCCGGGAUAGUUGCCUCACUUAUUCAGCAGUGGUCUUUAGCUGCUUCGACAUCGACCUUGUAGUGGGCCACCAUCUCGUCAGCAUCGGCCGAGGUUUUCUCCAACCUGGACCUUGUUGUUUCACGCUCAUUACCAAGGGCAUCCCUUUCAGUGAUGGCAGAGCCCAGUUGAGUUCGGAGAUCCUCAUUUUGCUGAGCUCAUGUUUCAACCUUCUCCUUCGCCACCCAAAGCUGAACUUCCGCCAAAGACAGCUUGUCUUGGCGAUCUCCUUCUCCGAGGCAAGCAGGUCUAUCUUGCUUUUCCACUCGUCACCUAUUACUUGGGUCUCGUCCAUCUCCUUUCAGAGUCGGUCGAUCUUUUGCUGGACCUGCGAGGUAUUACGACAGAACCCCUAUUUCUAACUUCAAUAACCGUUACCUUUUCCAUCAAUUCGACGUGCUCCUUCCUUAAGGCUGAUGCUUUUUGUAAGUUGCAUCCAGCUCGACUUCGAGUUUCUUAGCGACCCCCUCUUACUUAUCGCGGAGAAGCUUGUACAUGUCCAUUUUUUGGGCAAACUCCUUGAUCUCGAGCUCAAUCUGAUUGAAUAAGGUUCUUUGUUAGGUUUCCAUGAAGAAGAAGAGCUUAGGGUGUGUGUGUGUGUUCAAAUCAGAAACGACUGCUUCAAGACUAGGGUUCUUGGUCUGUUUGUUUUUUGUUUUUUGAAGAAGAUGAUGCUUAGGGCUUGGUAUGUGAAGGAGAAGAUGAUAGCAGGGGUCGUUGUUUUGUCUGUGUGUGUAUUAAGGGUGAAGAAGAAGAAGAUAUUCAGGGGAGGGGAUGAGGGUCUUGGUAUGUG